AUACUCAACAUUAAGGCAUACGGUGAAUGCCUAGGUCGAAAGUACCGAUGAAGGACGCAUUAGGCGCGCGAUACGCUCCGGGGAGCUGCCAAGAAGCUUUGAUCCGGAGAUUUCCGAAUGGGGCAACCCGUCCCGAUUUAUCGGGGGACUGUUAACGAAUUCAUAACUUAACAGAGGGUACGUGGGGAACUGAAAUAUCUAAGUACCCACAGGAAGAGAAAACAACAGUGAUUCCCUAAGUAGUGACGAGCGAAAUGGGAACAGCCUAAACUAGUUCGGAUUUCGGAUGUCAGAUUUCUGAUGUCUGACUUCUGGACUGGGGUUGUAGGACCCGCCACAAAGGAUCAAAUGAAGGUAGUCGAAGUAUCUGGAAAGAUACACCAUAGACCGUGACAGUCGGGUAGACGAAACUGGAAUUUGCCUGGCGGGCACCUGAGUAACUCAGGACACGUGUAAUCCUGGGCGAAUCUGGCACGACCUCGUGCUAAGGCUAAAUAUACUUUCGGACCGAUAGUGAACUAGUACCGUGAGGGAAAGGUGAAAAGAAGGGCGAGACGCCCAGUGAAAUAGAAACUGAAACCGUAUGUUGACAAGCAGCGGAAGUCCCGAUUUAUCGGGACGACCGCGUGCCUAUUGAAGAAUGAACCGGUGAGUUAAAGAUUUACGACUAGACUAAGCGACUCUGUCGCGCAGUCGCAGUGAAAGCGAGCCCUAACAGGGCGCCAAGCCGUAGUCUUUAGACCCGAAACCAGGUGAGCUAACCAUGUGCAGGAUGAACCCGCCCUAACAGGCGUGGGGAGGUCCGAACCCAUUAUCGUAGAAAUGAUUCGGGAUGACAUGUGGUUAGAGGUGAUAUGCCUAGCGAACCUGGAGAUAGCUGGUUCUCCCCGAAAUAUAUUUAGGUAUAGCCCUGAGCAACUAGCAUGGGGGGUAGAGCUCUGGAUGGAUCUUGGUGGCGUAAGCUAUCAAAUCCAAUCAAACUUCAAAUACCCAUUGCCGUAUCUCAGGAGUCAGUCCGAUCCGGCUAAGCGGAGCGGGCCUGAGGGAAACAUCCCAGACCGACAGCUAAGGUCCCUAAAUGAACCUUAAGUGUUAAAGGAGGUCAUGAUCCUUAGACAGCCAGGAAGUUGGCUUAGAAGCAGCCAUCUUUUAAAGAAAGCGUAACAGCUCGCUGGUCUAUCUACCCCGAUUUAUCGGGGCUUAUGGGUCGUGGCGCCGACAACGAACCGGGGCUUAAAGGUUCUACCGAAGCUACGGAUCAAGUUCGGACUUCAGAGUUCGGAUGUCAGAUUUCGGAAGGUGUAAAAUGUAAGUAUGCAAGAUAUUACUGAUCUAAGAGUUUAUCAACUGUCUAUGAAAUUGUUAGAUAAAAUAAACAGUUUUUUAGAUCAAUUACCUAGAAAAGAUUACGAUUUGUAUCAUCAAAUUUUAAGAGCUUCUAGGUCAAUUCCUGCAUUACUUGCUGAAGGAUUUGCAAAAAAGUCAUCACAGAGAGAUUUUCGUCAUUUUGUGAUUAUGGCAUUGGGUUCAUCAGAUGAAGUAAUUACUCAUUUGAGGAUUGCCAAAGCAGAUUUUUUAUUAAUAGAAGAAUAUAAGUCUUUGUCUAAACAAUUAAACAGUUUAGCUCAAAAACUUCAAGUUCAGACUUCGGAUUUCAGAAGUCGGAGAUCGGAUAAGUAUUAAUAGUACUUAGUCCAAUUUCUGAUAUCUGAGUUCCGAUGUCCGACUUCCGAAUAUGAUAUCUGAGUUCCGAUGUCCGAGCUUGGUGGUAGGGGAGCGCCCGCCGUGCAGUGAAGUCGCAUCGUGAGAUGCGGUGGAGCGCGGCGGGGUGAGAAUGCCGGUAUGAGUAACGAAAGUCCGAUGAGAAAUCGGACCGCCGAAUGCCCAAGGUUUCCGAUCCAAUGUUAAUCAGGGUCGGGUAAGUCGGUCCUAAGGAGAGGCCAAGAGGCGUAUCCGAUGGACAACAGGUUAAAAUUCCUGUACUUGGAUGUGUCGAUAAAAACUUUAAGGAGGGACAGAAUGGGAUUAGCUCAGCCCGCCAAUGGCGGGUGCAAGCAGUAAGUUAGUAGAGAUUGGAAAAUCCGUUUCUACGUCAUGUACUGUAUGGUACGUGAUAAAAAUACAAGUUGUGAUGCCGAAAGUGGGUGUGAUUCUGUUUUCAGGAAAAUCUCCGUAAAGAGGCACAUUUAAACCGUACUACAAACCAACACAGGUGGGCGAGUUGAGUAUACACAGGCGAUCGAGAGAACUAUCCUUAAGGAACUCGGCAACAAAAGCUGGACGUAAGUUAGCGAGAUGUCCCGCCCUGAGAGAAAUCGAAUGGGUUGCAACAAAAGACGCUGAGCGACUGUUUAUCAAAAACACAGGUCCCUGCUAAAGCGAAAGCUGAUGUAUAGGGGCUGACACCUGCCCAGUGCCAGUAAUUUAAAACUUCUUUUGACGUCCGAUGUUACAUCGGACCGAGGAAGGGGUCUAAGAUCUGGUGAACGGCAGCAGUAACUAUAACUGUUCUAUGGUAGCGAAGUUCCUUGUCUGGUGAAUUUUCGCCAGUUUCAAGAGUGAUCUUGGAAAUAAAUCCAGCUAAUAUCGGUGAAACCCAUUGACUUUUGGGUUACCUUCGGGUAAUCUGAAAAUACGGGUAAUACCGAGGGAACCCUGUACCAGAUGGUACUGGGGCACCGUAACGACUUAUAUGGAAGGUGCCAGAUAAUCUGGAUCUAAACUUUCAUUAUAUGCUGGCGCUUAAGAAUAACAAUUUAGGAUGGUAUCUUUCUGGUUUUGCUGAUGGAGAAGGCAGUUUUUGUGUUUAUUUCUCUCCUAGAAGUCGAAUGAAUCUAGGAUGGGAGGUAAGACCAAGCUUUUCUGUUGGACAAAACACUUCAAGGCCUCAAGUCAUUCAGCUUUUUCAACAAUAUUUUAAAUGUGGAACAUUGCGACCUAAUAAAGGAGAUAAUACUGUGAAAUUUGAAAUUCGUAGUUUGAAUCCUUAUUAGAAGUUGUAAUUCCGCAUUUUCGAAAGUAUCCUUUACUUUCUAGUAAAGCCAAUGAUUUUGAAAAGUUUGUUACUAUUUGUAAUUUACUUGCUCAGAGUCAGCACUUAACAGAAAAGGGGUUUAAACAAAUUGUUGAUUUAGCAUUUAGUAUGAAUGGUUUUGGGGCAAGAAGAUAUAAGAAAGAACAAAUUCUAAAUUCUCUUAAGGUGAAGAUAUAGUCUAAUCCCUUUAGUAAUAAAGGAAACGAUUGGAGUUCAGACCCGCACGAAAGGUAGAACGACUUAGCGACUGUCUUGAGGAUAGACUCGGUGAAAUUGCAGUGGCUGUGAAGAUGCGGCCUUCCCAUACUUGGACAAAAAGACCCCGUGGAGCUUUACUGGAGCUUGUCCCUGAUUUGAAGAUUGGUUUGUGUAGCGUAGGAGGGAGUCCGACGUUACGUCGGACGACAAUGAAACACCUCUCUUAUCAAUUUUCAGAUCUAACUCUUGAACCCUUAUAAAAACAGGGCGGAGAACAAGGUCUGGCGGACAGUUUAACUGGGGCGGUUGCCUCCAAAAACGUAACGGAGGCGUGCAAAGGUACACUUACCUCGAAAAGAAAUCGAGGUUUUAAGCGCAAAAGUAUAGAGUGUGCUUGACUGCGAGACAGACAGGUCGAGCAGGUGCGAAAGCAGGCUUUAGUGAUCUCGUGUUUGCUCGAGGGAGCGGCACGGCUUAUCGGAUAAAAGCUACCCCGGGGAUAACAGGCUAGUGAGACCCAACAGUCCACAAGGACGGUCUCGUUCGGCACCUCGAUUAACCUAUUAAUUUAGGUUUUAGUCGCCUAGAGGAGUAAUCCUCUAAGGAAAAAUUUAGCUCAUAUCGGUGAAACCCAUUGACUUUCGGUUUACCUUCGGGUAAAUUGAAGUUGUAGGGUAAUACCGAGGGAAGUCUCCGCCAACUGGCGGAUGACCCCCUAACGACUUGAUCAUUUGAUCAAAUAGAAGGUACCAGAUAAUCUGGAAUUAAACUUCUAUUAUAUUGCUGAGCCCCCGCUAAAUGCGGGGUGAUGGUAUAGUCUAUGCCACUAGUAAUAGUGGGAGAACCAUGGUCGGCUCAUCGUAUCCUGGGGGGGAAGUACCUCCCAAGGGUCGGGCUGUUCGCCCGUUAAAACGGUACGCGAGCUGGGUUCAGAGCGACGUGAGUCAGCUCGGACUCUAUCCAGUAUGGGCGUUUUGAUACUUGAGGGGAGUGGUCUCUAGUACGAGAGGACCGAGACGAGGCAACCGCUAGUGUGCCAGUUGUAGGUAAACCUGCAGCGCUGGGUAGCUACGUUGCUGUUUGAUAAGUGCUGAAAGCAUCUAAGCACGAAACAAACCCCAAGAUGAGGUAUCUUUAAGACCCGUAGAAGACUACUACGUUGAUAGGCUGGCAGUGGAAGCGCGGUAACGCGUUAAGCUUACCAGUACUAAUGGUCAUAGUUGAGAUUUU
rfam:Microgenomates (Daviesbacteria) bacterium GW2011_GWA2_38_24 TS86_C0004, whole genome shotgun sequence.